rnacentral:rRNA from 1 species
UACGAAGGGGGCUAGCGUUGCUCGGAAUUACUGGGCGUAAAGCGCGCGUAGGCGGAUCUGCAAGUCGGGGGUGAAAUCCCGAGGCUCAACCUCGGAACUGCCUUCGAUACUGCGGGUCUCGAGUCCGGGAGAGGUGAGUGGAAUUCCUGUGUAGAGGUGAAAUUCGUAGAUAUUAGGAAGAACACCAGUGGCGAAGGCGGCUCACUGGCCCGGUACUGACGCUGAGGCGCGAAAGCUAGGGGAGCAAACGGG